CCUACGGGGGGCUGCAGUGGGGAAUAUUGGACAAUGGGGGCAACCCUGAUCCAGCCAUGCCGCGUGUGUGAAGAAGGCCCUCGGGUUGUAAAGCACUUUCAGUGAGGAAGAACGCCUGGUGGUUAAUACCCAUCAGGAAAGACAUCACUCACAGAAGAAGCACCGGCUAACUCCGUGCCAGCAGCCGCGGUAAUACGGAGGGUGCGAUCGUUAAUCGGAAUUACUGGGCGUAAAGCGCGCGUAGGUGGCUUGAUAAGCCGGUUGUGAAAGCCCCGGGCUCAACCUGGGAACGGCAUCCGGAACUGUCAAGCUAGAGUGCAGGAGAGGAAGGUAGAAUUCCCGGUGUAGCGGUGAAAUGCGUAGAGAUCGGGAGGAAUACCAGUGGCGAAGGCGGCCUUCUGGACUGACACUGACACUGAGGUGCGAAAGCGUGGGUAGCAAACAGGAUUAGAUACCCCAGUAGUC
rnacentral:rRNA from 1 species